GAUCUGUGAGAACCUGCAGAAGCAGGUGGAGAAGGUAUUAAGGAAGUCUGCCUAUAAGAUUGUCAGUGGAGAAGCAGACACAGUUGAGGUAACCCCUGAAAACUUGCAGGACUUUGUUGGCAAGCCCAUCUUCACUGUGGAUUGGAUGUAUGACCUCACUCCUCCUGGAGUGGUGAUGGGCCUGGCCUGGACAGCUAUGGGUAAGAUGCAGCUGCAGCAGAAUCAAUGGGG